CCGCCGGGAGGCCGACGUGGAAGUCGCCGGCUGACCGGGCUCGCUGGGAGCCGCCUCCGAGACGCAUCCUGGGCGAGCCGGGGUGGCGGCGCGAGGCCCGCCCGGGAGCUCUGCGGGGCCGCGGCUGUCUCUGAGGGUCGGCGAGGGAGGACCGGCGACUCGCCAUGGGUGGUUUUUUCUCAACUAUUUUUUCCAGUUUGUUUGGAACUCGGGAGAUGAGAAUUUUAAUUUUGGGAUUAGAUGGAGCAGGACAAACCACAAUAUUGUACAGAUUGCAAGUUGGAGAAGUCGUGACUACUAUUCCUACCAUAGGAUUUAAUGUAGAGACGGUGACAUACAAAAACCUUAAGUUCCAAGUCUGGGAUUUAGGAGGACAGACAAGUAUCAGGCCAUACUGGAGAUGUUACUAUUCAAACGCAGAUGCAGUUAUUUAUGUAGUAGACAGUUGUGACCGAGACCGAAUUGGCAUUUCCAAAUCAGAGUUAGUUGCCAUGUUGGAGGAAGAAGAGCUGAGAAAAGCCAUUUUAGUGGUGUUUGCAAAUAAACAGGACAUGGAACAGGCCAUGACUCCCUCAGAGAUGGCAAAUUCACUUGGGUUACCUGCCUUGAAGGACCGAAAGUGGCAGAUAUUCAAAACAUCAGCAACCAAAGGCACUGGCCUCGAUGAGGCCAUGGAAUGCUUAGUUGAAACGUUGAAAAGCAGACAGUAGUCCAGUCCUUUAGCUCUUGGAAUUGAAAGCUGCAUCACCUGUUGUGUUCACACUGCGAGAUGCGGACACUGCGUGGCUUCACCAUGUGCGGAACUGACUGCAAUGUUUGUAAUAAAUUCGGAAAAUAAGUGUGUGGAGAGGUAACUUGGUUGAAUCACCUGAAUAUUCUGUGUCAUGUACAAUAUUCCUUCCUUGCUUUCUUGUGUUAAGGCAUAUUCUGUUUGUAUGAAAUUCUUAUUCCAGUACAGUCCUGUUAAAGAAUGCACUCUUCUUCCUGGGGAAAAAACCCUUCUAUUUUUGAAUUAGUAGUUGCAGCUUGUUUGUAUAAACACUAAUAAAUAUCUUAACUCGGAUUUUUUCCCCCCUUAUAAUGAAUUAAGUCUUUCCAAAGAUUAGGCUCAAUAGAGUAGGCUGGGAACAUAGUCUGUAUAAUAUAAUCCUCAUUUGCUUAACUUUUUUGAUUUAAAAGCUUUUGGUUGUAGGCAUGAAUAUUCUUUUGGUGGUUAACUUCACUGACAUAUCUGUAAUUUUCUUUUACUUUAUAGUUGUUGAAAAAUUUUACAUAUAGUGAUCUAGUUGAUUUGUGCAGGACCUAUUUGAGGUAGGUAGGAUGGGUUGUGAUGUCUUCACCUGGUGGACGUGGACCAGGGUUCUGACAGAUUGGCUUGCUCAAGGCCACCUGUUAGUGAGGAGGGAAUAGGGCUCAGAGUAGGAUGUUUGGGUCAGAAGCUGGACUCAGACUACAUUAUGUAUUUCUGAAAAUGCCAACACUGAUGACGCAACCUAACUCGUAAAAUAAAAUUAUGCUAAUUGAAGUAGUCACCAUACAUGCAAAAUAACACAUGUAUUUUGUCUAUACUGGAAGUGAUCUAUGAUACAGUAAAAACAAUCCUAAAUGGUUAUAUUUGAUGGCAUUCACAACACGUUAAAGAAAGCAUUUCACAUGAAAGGAAAUAAAGUCUAUUUUAAGAAGCAUUAAAAAAAAAAAA